GGAGUGGAGCCUGCGGCUUAAUUUGACUCAACACGGGGAACCUCACCCGGCCCGGACACCGCGAGGAUUGACAGAUUGAGAGCUCUUUCUCGAUUCGGUGGGUGGUGGUGCAUGGCCGUUCUUAGUUGGUGGAGCGAUUUGUCUGGUUAAUUCCGAUAACGAACGAGACUCUAGCCGGUUAAGUAGCCCGAGCGGUUUUUGAUCUUUGCCGUUCAUCCUCGUUCGACCUUUUGCGUCGUCCCCCUUUUGUUCGGCCCGUCUCCGUCGUUUUCCGUUUCCUCUCGUUUUCCCGAUUGUCCGUCGUCCCGUCGACUCGUUCGACGGGUGCCGACGGUUUUCGUGGUUUUCGAGGGGUUCGGCGGCGGAGCGGUCCGUUCAGGGGGUAUACGCUGGGCCGUUUCGAGGUGAAAGCAUAACCGAAGGCCGCCGGCUUUUAAGGAAGCUUCUUAGAGGGACGAGCGGCGUUCAGCCGCCCGAGAUUGAGCGAUAACAGGUCUGUGAUGCCCUUAGAUGUCCGGGGCCGCACGCGCGCUACACUGAAGGGUUCAGCGUGCUAGUUUCUCCCGGGCCGUCAGGCUCGGGGAACCCGUUGAAACCCUUUCGUGCUAGGGACAGGGACUUGCAAUUGUGUCCCUCCAACGAGGAAUUCCCAGUAAGCGCGAGUCAUCAGCUCGCGUUGAUUACGUCCCUGCCCUUUGUACACACCGCCCGUCGCUACUACCGAUUGAACGAUUUAGUGAGGUCUUCGGACCGGUGGUCGUUCCGCGAUCGGGUCAGGAAAAGGUCUCGCGCCCUUUCCUCCCGCGCGGGGUCGGCCGGCCGGGAAGAUGCCC
rnacentral:rRNA from 1 species